UACGUAGGGUGCAAGCGUUGUCCGGAUUUAUUGGGCGUAAAGAGCUCGUAGGUGGUUCGGUAAGUCGGAUGUGAAAUCUCCAGGCUCAACCUGGAGGGGUCAUUCGAUACUGCCGUGACUAGAGGUCGGUAGGGGAGUGUGGAAUUCCUGGUGGAGCGGUGAAAUGCGCAGAUAUCAGGAGGAACACCGAUGGCGAAGGCAGAUCUCUGGGCCGUAACUGACGCUGAGGAGCGAAAGCAUGGGGAGCGAACAGG
rnacentral:rRNA from 1 species